rnacentral:lncRNA from 1 species
ACCUUCUACUGACUAGAUGUAAAACCCAAUGGGUCACACACAUAUAAAAAUUGGCCAAGGAUCAUUUUGAAAAAGGUUGAUUAGAAUUUUGGAUUCAAUUAGGGUUUUGGUAAGCAUGCUAGCAUGUAUGGAAACCCUAACUACUUUGGAGAUUAAUUUGGUCUCAUGCCUUGCUGAUUUGCUAACCUAAUUUGGUGGAUAUUUGGAUCAGGUCAAGCCACCUAGAAGCAGCUAAAAAGAGUUACCAUAUCUGUUGAUUAACACCAAAAACCAAGAGUCCAAGAUGAGGACUCUUGGCGCAUAUAUGCUGAGCGCACAUGCUCUUUAGUUUUGGCACAUAGAAGGACUAAGAGUCCUUCUGCUUUGGGUCUCUAUUUUUUAUGACAAAUAGAUCAAAUCAUAAUCCACCUAGA